rnacentral:rRNA from 1 species
UACGGGGGGGGCAAGCGUUGUUCGGAAUUACUGGGCGUAAAGGGCUCGUAGGCGGCCAACUAAGUCGGACGUGAAAUCCCCAGGCUCAACCUGGGAACUGCGUCCGAUACUGGAUGGCUUGAAUCCGGGAGAGGGAUGCAGAAUUCCAGGUGUAGCGGUGAAAUGCGUAGAUAUCUGGAGGAACACCGGUGGCGAAGGCGGCAUCCUGGACCGGCAUUGACGCUGAGGCGCGAAAGCUAGGGGAGCAAACGGGG